rnacentral:rRNA from 1 species
UACGUAGGGUGCGAGCGUUUAAUCGGAAUUACUGGGCGUAAAGCGUGCGCAGGCGGUAAUGCAAGACAGAUGUGAAAUCCCCGGGCUUAACCUGGGAACUGCAUUUGUGACUGCAUUGCUGGAGUGCGGCAGAGGGGGGAUGGAAUUCCGCGUGUAGCAGUGAAAUGCGUAGAUAUGCGGAGGAACACCGAUGGCGAAGGCAAUCCCCUGGGCCUGCACUGACGCUCAUGCACGAAAGCGUGGGGAGCAAACAGG